rnacentral:rRNA from 1 species
UUGUUGAAGUUUUGAAGAUUUUUUGAAUUUAAUCAACAAAUUGACAAUUAAAUGAAUAACAAUUCAAUAUAAAUAUUGAAGUUUAGUUCAGUAAACCUCUGGCCCAAACUAUUUCUAGUCCAGACCAAAGCAAAAGUUCUUGUAAUAACAAAAAACACUGUGUGUAAGGUUUUUUCGCCGCGCAAUUAAGCGCUGGCAAAAAGAAUACUGUAAUGAUCCUUCCGCAGGUUCACCUACGGAAAUCGAAUUC